UACAGAGGUCCCAAGCGUUGUUCGGAUUCACUGGGCGUAAAGGGUGCGUAGGUGGCGAGGUAAGUUUGAUGUGAAAUCUCCGGGCUUAACCCGGAAACUGCAUUGAAUACUAUCUUGCUCGAGGUUUGGAAGGGGGACUGGAAUUCUCGGUGUAGCAGUGAAAUGCGUAGAUAUCGAGAGGAACACCAGUGGCGAAGGCGAGUCCCUGGACAACACCUGACACUGAGGCACGAAAGCUAGGGGAGCAAACAGG
rnacentral:rRNA from 1 species